CAGCCCUGAAUUUUGAAAGUUCACUGUGGUGAAUUGUUCUUCCCACAGUUAAUGGAACCAAACAAUCACAGCUUUGGCUGUCAUUUGUGCUGAGACUUCAGGGAGAACUCUGCUGGAGAAGGAUGGAUGUUUCUGCAGUGUUAAAGUGCUGCUAUUGUGGUCCUGGGCACCCUGCAUCACCCACCUGCCACAGCUGGGUUCCACCACCCCACAACUGUGCUGGGGACACGGUGCAGGAGCUGCUAAAGCCCAGCACCAAAGGAGCUUGGGGCCUUCCCUCUCUUGGACCACCAAGACAGCUCUGAACAUCCAGAGACUUGCUGGUGAUCUAAAGUGACUUGAUGGUGUCUGAUGAAUGGAAGAUGGAACCUGCCCAGCAUGCAAGGAAGUCGGGUUCCAGGUUUUCCCCUGCUGUGCAGCAGGAGUGGGGAUCCCUCCUGCUGUGCCUUCACCAGAACACAGCCUUGGACGUGCCCAGGGGCAGAAAGGGGCUCCUGGAAGGAGCUGCGUGAGUCAAUGUGCAGCUGCAGGAUUGGUGUCCCUGUGGCAGAAAUCAGAGAGUUCCUGGCGUGGGGCAGAGCACUGGGAGAGGGCCUGGCCAUGGAGGGUCUCCUGCUGGCCUGAGGCUCCUGCAAUUGAGCACAAACCAAUCCCUCCAUGGUCACGGAGCAGUUCCCAUCUGCAGGAGCAGGAGCUGGGCUCUGGUGGGCUGAAAAGAGCUCCAUAAACAUCGUUAUUAUUCUUCAUUAGAGCAGCUCUGCAGAGAUAUCCUGUCAGGAUGGACAGAGCUCCUUUAGCAGAGAGUACAGAUUGAUCGGGGUGGAAUGGGAGUCAGGAGAACACAGUGUCUAAGGCAACAAGGCGGUUCAGACAGCUCUGCAGCAGCCUAAACACAUGACAGACUCAGGCAGCUCCCACUGCUGCCAACACAACUGCUCGCGGGGUCUGCCAAGAAGCCAGAUGCUGCUGCUGGAAAAAAUAUCUUCCAGAGUUUGGCAUCAAGAUCCUGUGAUUACCAUCCAAAUGGGAGGAGAUGGAGUGAUAGAAUGUGAGUUUAGUAUUUAGCACCCCAGAACUGUGCAGCAGCCUUUGAAGGCAGAGGAAAGAAGUUCAAGCAAAAUAUUUUUGCUAAAAAUAUGUUCGGAGAAAUGAACUUUUUUUUUUUUUUUUUUUUUU